CUCUCUUUCAAAAUCCAGAUCUCUCUCUCUCUUUCUCUCUCUCCCUCUAUGCCCCCUCCCCCACCCUUUUCCACACCAUGAAAAAUAAAUGGCCAUCUGCAAACCAAGAAGAAAGCUUUCACCAGACACCAGUUCUGCUGGCAUCUUGAUCUUGGACUUCCCAGCCACCAGAACUCUUUCAUUAUGGACUUCCGACGUAUACCCUUAGACUUCUCAUUGGCCCUUCUCAGCCAUUAACGCAGCACUGUACCUAAGAAUACGCACCGUGAUGCUGGAACAAAGCCUGGAGGUGACCGGCUGCGUCCCACGACCCAUGCCUGGUGUCCCCCUCCUGGAGCCACGGCCCGAGCCAGCAUUUAUGAAAUGCCUACUGCAUGCCAAGUCUUACUAAGAGAGGCCAGUAGAGAUAGCAAUAGGAACAAAUGCUUGUUUUGUUCUUGGGGAAUCUGGACCUUCCGAAACACCGAGAGUAGCUGAAACGUGAGAGGAAGACCGACUCCAGAUUUGCCAGAACCUGAACCAGCAUUUGACUUAGUCCUGUUUGUUGGGGAUCAGGGUCACUGUGCCUUUGAGUGCCUCAUUAUGUCUAUGCUCCCUCUCGUUAUACUCGGGCUCUCCCUUUCCUCUCCUUCGUCUCUGUAGGACAGGCUCACUCCCAUACUGGAGGCUGAUGGAUGGCCACCUUGCCCUUUCCGAUUCAUUUGUCAAGCAGACCCAGGACUACUCUCAGUUGCAGGAUGAGCCAAGUGAGUUCUUUCCUGCUCUGGUAACAUUCUCCCAGGCCUAGUGGGUGUGUUAUAUUGGUCCGGAACAUGUGUUAAGCCUGACCAUGUUAGUGUAAUGGAUUUCUGCAUGCUCCACCUUACUCACUCGCCUGCCCUGAGAUUCAGACACAUAUGCCAGUUAUUGUAAUUUGGGGUUUCUUUGUCACAAUCCUUUGUAUAUCUAUCUCCCUUAGAACAUCAACAGGGAGUUGACUUGAGCAAAUGAAGCAGACUUUGGUCAACCCUAGGUUCCUGCCAAAGGGACAUUUAACAACAAUAAAAACACUAGAUACAUAAGCACUACAAAACUAGCAAUAAAAACACUAACAACAGAGUUACUCCUCUGCUCUCGUUCAGCUAAGUGCAAUUGGAACAGCUGUCAUGCACUAGACACUGGGUUGGGGAGUUUUCACAGACUGUAUCCUGUAACCAACACAGCCGCUGUGGUGCAUGACCUUCACCCAAUUUUCUUCAGUAUGGGGAAAACAAGACUCAAAAAGUUUGACCGCUACUCCUCCUGCUAACCUUGAAAUCUGACUUCCCAAUUCCAUUCCCCAGAGUCUUUCCAUUUCCUUGAAAGCGAGGCCCUGGGUAAGACAGACAGUGAAUCUAGACCCCUGUGGGUGUUUAAAAAAAUUUAAAUAAAUUGUUUAAUUCAUUCCUCCACCAAAUCAAGAACUGGAAGAAAACCGAAGAAAUAAGUAAACACAAUCCUGCUCAGAAUGCUAUCCACUAAGUAGGAAUUCUACAAUGGAGCAUUCUGCGGGAAGGGGAUCAUUCCCUGCCUUUCCUUCAUUAACCCAAUUAAAAUCUCAUCAACACAGAAGGAAAUCAAAGGCAGAGUCAGAAAGAGAUUGUGGCUAUGCCUCCAGGAUGAAAAGCCAGAUGGUCAGGUCUCUCCACCAACCUGUCUGUCCAUUCUUAACUAUAAGUCCCAUUGGCCACACUUCUCAGAUGUGUAAGCUAUCUUUACUUCUAGCAAAAUGUCAUCCCCACCCCUGAAGUUAGGCACAUCUAUGGAAAACAGAUUAAUAACCAGAUUGAAAUGUAUCUUCAACGCCUGGCAAA